rnacentral:ncRNA from 1 species
UGAAGGUUUGGUCCUAGCCUCAAUAUUAGUUAUAACCUAACUUACACAUGCAAGUCUCAGCAUUCCGGUGAGAACGCCCUAAUUAACCGUAAAAUUUAAUUAGGAGCGGGUAUCAGGCACAUUUAAAAUAGCCCAUGACACCUCGCUCAGCCACACCCACAAGGGAAUUCAGCAGUGAUAAAUAUUGCCCUAUGAGCGUAAGCUUGAGCCAAUUAAAGUUAUAAAGAGUUGGUUAACCUCGUGCCAGCCACCGCGGUUAUACGAGUGACACGAAUUAAUAUUCAACGGCGUUAAGGGUGAUUAGAAAAUAUCUCUAUAUAAAUAAAGUUCAAAUCUCAUCAAGCUGUCAUACGCUCCUAUGUCCAAAAACAUCAAUCACGAAAGUAACUUUAUACAAACAGAAUUUUUGACCUCACGACAGUUAAGACCCAAACUAGGAUUAGAUACCCUACUAUGCUUAACCAUAAACAUUGUUAUUAUAAACUACCUUAAUAUACCGCCUGAACACUACAAGCGCUAGCUUAAAAUACAAAGGACUUGGCGGUGCUCCAAACCCACCUAGAGGAGCCUGUUCUAUAACCGAUAAUCCACGUUAAACCUCACCACUUCUUGCUCUUUCCGCCUAUAUACCGCCGUCGUCAGCUCACCCCAUGAGGGCUCAACAGUAAGCAUAAUGACCUUCCUUAUCCUCAAUACGUCAGGUCGAGGUGUAGCGAAUGAAGUGGGAAGAAAUGGGCUACAUUCUCUUUCUAAAGCACACGAACAGAAGUAUGAAAAACUUCUCAAAGGUGGAUUUAGCAGUAAGUAAAUUUUAGAACAUUAUACUGAAACCGGCUCUGGAGCGCGCACACACCGCCCGUCACUCUCCUCGAGAAAUCACCAUAAAUUAUAUAAAAAACUUUAAAAUAAAGAGGAGGCAAGUCGUAACAUGGUAAGUGUACUGGAAAGUGCACUUGGAUUAAU